GGCGAACGGGUGAGUAACACGUGGGUGAUCUGCCCUGCACUUCGGGAUAAGCCUGGGAAACUGGGUCUAAUACCGGAUAGGAGCCAUUUUUAGUGUGAUGGUUGGAAAGUUUUUCGGUGCAAGAUGAGCUCGCGGCCUAUCAGCUUGUUGGUGGGGUAAUGGCCUACCAAGGCGUCGACGGGUAGCCGGCCUGAGAGGGUGUACGGCCACAUUGGGACUGAGAUACGGCCCAG
rnacentral:rRNA from 1 species